rnacentral:rRNA from 1 species
CAGCAGCCGCGGUAAUACGAAGGUCCCGAGCGUUGUUCGGAAUCACUGGGCGUAAAGGGAGCGUAGGCGGCGUGGUAAGUCAGAUGUGAAAUCCCGGGGCUCAUCCCCGGAACUGCAUCCGAUACUGCCAUGCUAGAGGAUUGGAGAGGUAGCUGGAAUUCUUGGUGUAGCAGUGAAAUGCGUGGAGAUCAAGAGGAACACUCGUGGCGAAAGCGAGCUACUGGACAAUAACUGACGCUGAGGCUCGAAGGCCAGGGUAGCGAAAGGGAUUAGAUACCCCCGUAGUCCUGUCUCUUAUACA